UGGAUUGUAAAAACAAUGAUA
ensembl:piRNA 21ur-3978 ncRNA